rnacentral:rRNA from 1 species
CCUACGGGAGGCAGCAGUGAGGAAUAUUGGUCAAUGGACGAGAGUCUGAACCAGCCAAGUAGCGUGAAGGAUGACUGCCCUAUGGGUUGUAAACUUCUUUUAUAAAGGAAUAAAACGAGGCACGUGUGCCUUUUUGCAUGUACUUUAUGAAUAAGGAUCGGCUAACUCCGUGCCAGCAGCCGCGGUAAUACGGAGGAUCCGAGCGUUAUCCGGAUUUAUUGGGUUUAAAGGGAGCGUAGGUGGGUUGUUAAGUCAGUUGUGAAAGGUUGCGGCUCAACCGUAAAAUUGCAAUUGAUACUGGCAGUCUUGAGUACAGUUGAGGUAGGCGGAAUUCGUGGUGUAGCGGUGAAAUGCUUAGAUAUCACGAAGAACCCCGAUUGCGAAGGCAGCUUACUAAACUGUGACUGACAUUGAUGCUCGAAAGUGUGGGUAUCAAACAGGAUUAGAUACCCGUGUAGUC